rnacentral:piRNA from 1 species
CUCCUCUAUUCUGACCAAUAAAAGCAAG